rnacentral:rRNA from 1 species
AACGAACGCUGGCGGCAUGCCUAACACAUGCAAGUCGAACGAGACCUUCGGGUCUAGUGGCGCACGGGUGCGUAACGCGUGGGAAUCUGCCCUUGGGUUCGGAAUAACUCAGAGAAAUUUGAGCUAAUACCGGAUGAUGACGAAAGUCCAAAGAUUUAUCGCCCAGGGAUGAGCCCGCGUAAGAUUAGCUUGUUGGUGGGGUAAUGGCCUACCAAGGCGACGAUCUUUAGCUGGUCUGAGAGGAUGAUCAGCCACACUGGGACUGAGACACGGCCCAGACUCCUACGGGAGGCAGCAGUGGGGAAUAUUGGACAAUGGGCGAAAGCCUGAUCCAGCAAUGCCGCGUGAGUGAUGAAGGCCUUAGGGUUGUAAAGCUCUUUUACCAGGGAUGAUAAUGACAGUACCUGGAGAAUAAGCUCCGGCUAACUCCGUGCCAGCCGCCGCCGUAAAAC